UCGACUCUAACAACCAUGACUUGACUCUAUAUCUGACGAAGCGAGAAGGAGAACGGAGAAGAAGACCUCUGUGUCGGGCUGAGGCACGGGAGCAUGAUCUCCGACUUGAUGAUGGCCAUGGUCAGCUCACUCAACUGGAUGGGCUCGCUGAACCUUUAAGAAUAGCCGAGACAGAACGGUGAUCAUCUUGAAUCUAAGCAACUGGUGUGUCGUCCACGGCCGGCAGCUACUAACAAAAAUGACCUCAUAAGCUUCGCAAGGAAAAACGAUGGAAAAGU
rnacentral:lncRNA from 1 species